UUAAUUUGAAACCAAAAAAGAGGUACAUUAUUGUUAAUAAUGAAAUUGAAAAUUUAUUAUUUUCCAAUUAAA
rnacentral:tRNA from 1 species